UACGUAGGGUGCAAGCGUUGUCCGGAAUUAUUGGGCGUAAAGAGCUCGUAGGCGGUUUGUCGCGUCGGCUGUGAAAACCUGAGGCUCAACCUCAGGCCUGCAGUCGAUACGGGCAGACUAGAGUCCGGCAGGGGAGACUGGAAUUCCUGGUGUAGCGGUGAAAUGCGCAGAUAUCAGGAGGAACACCGGUGGCGAAGGCGGGUCUCUGGGCCGGAACUGACGCUGAGGAGCGAAAGCGUGGGGAGCGAACAGG
rnacentral:rRNA from 1 species